ACGAAGGGUGCAAGCGUUACUCGGAAUUACUGGGCGUAAAGGGUGCGUAGGUGGUUUUUUAAGUCUGUUGUGAAAGCCCCGGGCUCAGCCUGGGAAUGGCAAUGGAUACUGGCAGGCUAGAGUGCGGUAGAGGGUAGUGGAAUUCCCGGUGUAGCAGUGAAAUGCGUAGAGAUCGGGAGGAACAUCUGUGGCGAAGGCGACUGCCUGGACCAGCACUGACACUGAGGCACGAAAGCGUGGGGAGCAAACAGGA
rnacentral:rRNA from 1 species